UACAGAGGGUGCGAGCGUUAAUCGGAAUUACUGGGCGUAAAGCGUGCGUAGACGGUUAUUUAAGUCGGAUGUGAAAGCCCCGGGCUCGACCUGGGAAUUGCAUUCGAGACUGAAUAGCUAGGGUGCGGUAGAGGGAAGCGGAAUUUCCGGUGUAGCGGUGAAAUGCGUAGAUAUCGUAAGGAAGACCAGUGGCGAAGGCGGGUCUCUGGACAGUUCCUGACGCUGAGGCACGAAGGCCAGGGGAGCAAACGGG
rnacentral:rRNA from 1 species